AAAGCAGGAGCCAGCAUGAGGCCCUGUGAGCUGGGAGUCCCCGAGCAAGGCUAGCUGACUUCACAAAGCCUCCCCUCCCACAGGUGUGUGAGUCGCUUUUGGCAGUGAUUUCCCUAGAAGGAAGGGAUGAGGCCUGCCCAGGUGCAAAAGCAGUAGACUCUGGAAUGUUCCAUUCCAUUUGUUUAACGCCAUUUGGAGGGAAGGCUUCCUAAUGUAUCUUGCAAAGGAAUGUGCUACACGAACUACUGACAUGGGGCCACGUAACUCUGGUGGCGACAUCUCAGACCUCCACCCUCUGCAUGCCGGCAGCACUGCGCCCCAGACAUGACCACCAGAAAUGUCUCCGGAUAUCGUCAAACAUUCCUGAGCAACCCCGCCCCGCCACGACUGAGAACCACUCCUCUAACAAAGAAAAAAUGAAAGGAUGAUAAUGUAUCACCAAGUAACAUAUAGUUCAAAAUAUCAAUGCUCAAGCAUGAUUGCACUGUAGGAUAGAAUGAAGCAGCCAGCUGCCUGAACCUAUUGACAAUGAAGGCGUCCAGAUUUAAGAGGAGCAACAAGAUCAGAAGCUGUUUAGACAAGAACAGAAAAAUCAAAGGGCAGAGGAUGGACAUUAAGAUAAAAACUAGUGUUAGACUAAUAACAGAGAACAUUUACCUGUAUAUAAGAGAAAUAAAAUAACCAUAAUUAAAAUAGAGAUUGUAUACUAAGACAAGCUACAGAUCCAAAGUCCUAAAUGAGCUGGGACUUAUUUAUAGGUAUGGCUUCAGGGUUGUUCCCCACUUUGUGACCUGGAGUAUUGCUCUAGUGAUAAGAGUACUUAAAGUACUUUAGAAGAACUUGGAGCUGUAUCCGUGA